rnacentral:ncRNA from 2 species
GGACAAAACUCUGAAAAAGCUGUUAUUAAGACAGUACCAAAGGUGAAAGAUAUUUAAUAUCGAAACUCUCAGGUAAAAAAACAGAGGAUAUGUG